rnacentral:lncRNA from 1 species
GAAGUGGGAAAGGUGAAAAACACUUUAUCAACAACUUUGACUUUGAAGGAGAAAAGAGACAUAGAAUGAAAACCAGAAGCCUAAAGACAGCAGCAUGACCCAAAAACUUCCUGGUCUCUCCACCGUGGACAAUCAGGCCACUGGAAAGGGAGAUGAAACUGAAGGCCUCUGCCCUCUGAGAAGAUGAACAGAACUCACCAGAGCACAAAGAAAAUAAAUAUCUACUCCUGGUUGAAGUCUUUUUUCGACUAGAGUCAUGGCCUUCACAGGGAGACAAUCUAUUGACCACUUCCGGAGCUGUGCUGUGGAAAAAGAAGAGACCAGAAAAAGGAAGCCUUGGGGACAUGUUUUGCAUGAAUUAGCAAAGUCCAAUGAAGGGCGUCUACGUGGUGAAAGAAAUCAGUGGCCAGCCCAGUGUCGCAGCGGUUAAGUGCGCACGUUCCGCUUUGGUGGCCCGGGGUUCACUGGUUCGGAUCCCGGGUGUGGACAUGGCACCGCUUGGCAAGCCAUGCUGUGGCUGGAACAUGUAUAUGGUGGUGACCGAGCUUUGGCCAUGCAGGAGAUGGCAGGAGCAACAUAAAGCCUGGUCCACUCUCAGCUGCAUGCACUGCACCCACCCCAGGUCUUUUGUUCAUAUUCAAGCAGAGGUGCCAAUGAAAACAAACCAGAGAUGUCUGCACAGAGUUCCUGCCCUAAGAAAAGCCCAGGGCAGAAAGGUGAGCAUGUCCAAUGCAAAGAGUCUCAGAGCUCCUAAUGACUCCAGCCCAGAACUGCAGCAGAAGUUGCCAGUGAGACCAUCACUGGGGUGAAGCUGAUGGGGCUCCUGCACACGUCUGUGGAAGAUACAGAGUGGAAUGUACCCCAGGGAGGACUGGGCCGGUAUGGCACAUGGAGUAACGAAGAUCAGCAUCGCUGACCAGAAUCUAUGCCCAUUAUGAGCGAGCAGGGGGAAGGCGGCCUGCAUGCUGCCCAGGGUGGGUGAGAACUGACCUGGUGGGACACAAGGCCACCUGGGCCCAGAAGAAACAGCAGAGACCUAAGUAUUUGGUCCUUUUGUCCCCAAAGAUUGAGGGGCCUCAGGGACAGUUUGGGAGAAAAAUUUAAUGCUGAGCUGGACUCACAGCUCCAUUCUUGGGCACCAUUUUGUUGCCUGUCCUGACUUAGCCAAAUGGACAUUUAACACUUGUCAAAAAUAUCCCUUCAGAACACUCACUCUGAGUUGCCUGCUAAUUCCAUGAAGUCAUUUGUGGUUCUUCCAUGAUAAUCUAUAGGGGGAAACUGUGUAAUUGCUAAAAAUAAUGAAUGUAAAUCAACACACAAUAAGUGGUUCUUUAUAAAUACCUAUUUGCGCAGGUUGUUUACCUGCUGAAACAGCUCCAUCUCAAAAGAAUAAUAUACCAUUUAAAAAUUAGGUCAAGUUGGGGCUGGCCCUGUGGCCUGGUGGUUAAGUUCAGCAUGCUCCGCUUUGGUGGCCCAGGUUCAGUUCCCAGGUGCAGACCUACACCACUCAUCGGUGGCCAUGCUGUGGCAGUGACACACAUACAAAAUAGAGGAAGAUUGGCACAGAUGUUAGCUCAGGGCUAAUCUUCCUCAGGAGGAAAAAAAAGCUGGGUUAAGGGAAAGGACAAAAUAACUCAGGGUUUGACAAACUUUCUGUAAAGGGUGAGAUAGUAAAUAUUUUCAGAUUUGCAGGCCACACGGUCUCAGUAAAUGAGACAAAAGGUUCCCAGAAGGCUUAGGUAAUUCUGUGAGUUGACUGUGAGACAAAAAUAUGCCCUCUGUCGAUUAUAAAAAAUAUCUCACAAUGUUCCAGAAAAGGUGAUUUUACUUCCCUUCGUUCACAAAAUUAUUUGUGAAUUAAAUGCUAGUGAAAACGGAGACUACAGGGCACGUCAAAGAGCCAUGGAGAAUCGUGCCUUGAUGUGGUUUGUCCACUUCCCUCAACCACUGCUCUAGCUGUUGUAGGGAGUUAUUUCUAACUUCUCUAUGAGACCCUC